GUGAAAAUGGCCACGAGCUUUAACUGCCAAUGCAUGGGUGUUUGGUUACUAAGUCUGGAAUCGCGAUCACAGCAUCGAAAGUGUCAUCCCCCUUGAUGCUGCGGAUACCCUACGCCGACAGAAAUUCCGUGACAUCUGCUAUCGGCAAUUCACAAGAUGGAUAUGGGGUGCUCUGGGAAAACACCAUAGAAAGAUUCUCCCCUGCCUGUGUCAUGCAAUUAGGGAUGCAUUCCCAUCAGAUGUCUGCAAGGGCUUUGUACCUCCAGACGUGAAGAAAUAUAGUCAGACAAUAUUUUAAAUUGUUAUUACUUUGCGCCUGGACGGUUAAGUAGGGGCAUAGAUGUAUCUGUAUAUUUGCAGAGUUCGAGGUAACUCGUUACUUUAACUAAGUUCCUGUUUUUU